AACGUAGGUGGCGAGCGUUAUCCGGAUUCAUUGGGCGUAAAGCGCUUGUAGGUGGCGUGGUAAGUUGGACGUGAAAUCUCCCGGCUUAACCGGGAGGGGUCGUUCAAUACUGCCAGGCUAGAGGAUGUUAGAGGGCAGCGGAAUUCCUGGUGUAGCAGUGAAAUGCGUAGAUAUCAGGAGGAACACCCGUGGCGAAGGCGGCUGCCUGGGGCAUACCUGACACUGAGAAGCGAAAGCUAGGGGAGCGAACGGG
rnacentral:rRNA from 1 species